ensembl:lncRNA
GCCCCAGCUGUGUUUCCCUCCUGUUAUUCAUUCCCUGAUUGCUCCCUCUUUGUAUUUAAGCCCUGUGUUUCUCUGUGUCCGUGUCGUGAUCUACCGUUUAUUUUGCUGUGUGUUUUGCCAGUCCACCGGUGUUAGUUUAUUUUCAGUUUUUCCCAGUUAUGUUAUGUUUGCGUUCAGCAUUAAAGCUGUUUUGGUUUAAGUUUGUCUCCGGAGUCUGCACCUUGGGUCCUAUUCCUGUUUGCACACAGCCGUCACAUACCACAUUCAGUCUGUGGAAGACUGUAAGGCUGUAAGUGAUCUGAGGACCAAUUUGCCAUGGGAGACCCUACCAGGGGUAAAAGCCCCCAGACAACAUAGCCCCUGGGAUCCCUGGGACACACAAACCCCUCCACCACGAUAAGGUCAUAACACAAACAAGUCGUCAAGUCAAGCAGUUGAGGAAAGGGCUUAAGGAAACCAUGGUAUGGCCGCUUCUGACAGAAAGAUCAGACAUCAUUCUUCUUUUCUUACCAAGGGAAUCAGAGACUGCUCCCUGUUGUGAGCAUCACGUGGAAGGGUUCGCUGCCAUGUGAAUCUGGAAGGGUUCUGAGAAGGACAAAGCACAGGGGAAGAAACUGUUCUUAUGGCGAGAGGUUCUGGUGCGAAUGGACUGGAGCCUCCUGCCUGAGGGGAGCAGGUCAAACAGACUUUGUCCAGGGUGAGAAGGGUCAGCUGAGAUCCGAGCUGCACGCCCCAGUGUCCUGGAGGUGUACAGGUCCUGCAGAGAUGGGAGUCUGCACCCAAUCACCUUCUCAGCAGAGAGAACAGAAAGCAAAAACACUCAGAUUCUGUUUGAUCUUUAUAUAGAAUGAAU